AAACCAGACCCAAGCCCACUCUCAUUGGUUGCUGGAGGAGCUGAGACUGAAGUCUGUGCUGACAUUUUCAACCCUCGUUUGACAGGAUAAUUAGAGGAGAAGCCCCCGGUGUUGGUGACAUUUGAGUCUCAAGAGCUUCCAAUCCCAGUGUUGGAUUGAAUUUCAGUUUUCUUUCUUGCCACGCUGCCAAUUUGUACUGCUGUAAGCUGACCAGCUUACACACUGAAAAGCAAAACGCAGUUCAGCUGGUUUUAAAAGACCCAUUGACAGCCCAGGGCUUGUAAAACGAUGUGUACGGGUAGCUUCAGCUGGCCCCUGUAAGAGAUGGCCUGAGAUGAUAAAAUGCUUUGCAACUUAAAUUUCCACCAAGUGUUUUAAAACAUUGGGGUUUGUUUCAGGCCUUGUGUAAUUCUUUGUUAUCUGCAACACAGGCGUUCUUUUUGCUCUUGUGAUCAGAUCAUGAAUCUCUUGCACAAUCAGCCCAAGAGCUCUGUAAGGAUGAAGACUGUUAACUCUAGCUUUGUUACAUUAGAGGCAACCCAAGGCUUCAUUUGAUAGCCAUCUGAGACAGACAAUGUGGCCCGCCAAGGCCACAGCUGUACUUUCCUACCAGUCAUUUGCACAGGCUAUCAGAGGGCCUCUCUUCCAAGCCUUUGAUAAACAGGAAUUCAACCCCAACUACCCUUUGGAAGCCAACGGAUAUUAUUAUAAUCAGUGGGAAAACAGACAAUGACGGAGUCAGCUCUGGCCAGAAGCAGAAAAGAACGAAGGUUGGUUCACCUCUCGUUGCCUACUGCAUGUUGUGCACGAAAUGACCUCAAAGGUCAACUUCUACGCUUUCCUUUUUGCAAGAACUAAACUCAUACGUAUGAGCCCUCCCCUUAUGGAAACCUCAAACCCUGUUAGGCUACCCUGUCACAAACCCUGACUUGAAUAGAGAAGUGUGGAUCUGGGGGAUAGAAGGGAAAUUCUGGAUGAAGUAUAUGUCUUUUUCAUGCUCAAGCAGAAUGAGCAUUCAACUCAUUCUGGUAUCUUUGUUAAAGGUCAGUGGCUCUGCCAAAAUGGCCAUUUCCUUCUAGAACAACCCUGGGAAGCACCCUUAGUUCAAUAUCUGAUCAGUUUUUCUCUUGGAUCUUUAAAUUCCGUAUAUGAAGCUGGUCUAUGCUUUUCACUGUCACUUAAGACACUGCACUGUCACUAUCAGUCCUCGGUACCAAGGAUUGUCUGAUAAUAAAAAUUUUAACAAUCUGAUUGUGACUAUAAAUUGGUGUAGUCAUUUUCAAGGUCAGGCUGACAAUAUGCAUCAACAGCCAUAAAAAUAUUUAGAUCUGUUGAUGUUGAAAAAUUUAAUUCAAGGAUCACAUGUUUGGUCAGUAAUCAGAGAUAUAGUCUAAAAAUCUAUGGACAGAUAUAUUCAUUGCGAUGUUGUUUACCAUGGAGAAAAAUUCUAUACCUCUUAAAUAUCCCUCAACAACAA
rnacentral:lncRNA from 1 species